UGCAGCAUACCGCAAGAUGUACAUGGGCGAUCAAAUGCUCGGCUACACUUGCACGAAGUGCAGUAAAUUCUACAAGAUGUGGAGCAACUAUUUGAAGCACAAGUGCGAACCCCCACAAUUCAAGUGCACCCUCUGUCCAUUUGCUGCCUUCAAAGCGUUCAUACUUCACGCACAUCAGGCUGAGCAGCACUUCAAAGUCCCCUCGCCCAACUCCUAAACGGCCAGGACACGGAUACGCCUGUUCCAACUGCGCUAAAACCUUCAAAUGGCAAAAAUCCCUUCAACGACACGUCCGAGAGGAAUGUGGGAAGAAGCCCUACCGAUGUCCCCACUGUCCACGUCUCCUAAACCUCCGAAACAGUCUGAUACGACACUUGAUGAUCAAACACGGCCAGGACUAUCGAAUCAGAGCUCAGCCCUCAGCGAGGAGCAGAUUUCGCAAUCAGUCUUAUUACCUAUGAAUUAAUUAAUUAUGGAUAAUAAACGGAGAAAUCGACGCACCGAGUUUCCUUAUCAAUCUGUCAUGUCCCUGUCAUCUCGCGACGAUUGGACUCCGGACGAUCGAAUCAACCGGAUCUUCACGAGAUGGGGGAGUUAAUUGUUGUUAUAAUGAGAUGUUUCUAUUGUUCCAUAAAAACAAAACUGCACUGCAAUUUACUUAAACACAAAAACCCGCAUGCUAAUGAAUCCCUGUCGAUUAAAAAAGAAAUAUUUCUGUAAAUAUAACGAGUUAUCGAUUAUUUUUUUGAUAAAUUCUCUGCAUUUACAAUCUAACUCGGUUAUCGGUGUUAAUUUAUUAAUUAAGUCUAUCACGAUGGCGCAUUAUUUAUGUAAAGAACUGAUUAUCUUGAUGGUACAGUAAAAAUCUGUAAUUUAUGAUUUUUUGUAUUUUUAUUAUU